GUCCACGCCGUAAACGAUGAAUGCUAGCCGUUGGGCAGCUUGCUGUUCAGUGGCGCAGCUAACGCAUUAAGCAUUCCGCCUGGGGAGUACGGCCGCAAGGUUGAAACUCAAAGGAAUUGACGGGGGCCCGCACAAGCGGUGGAGCAUGUGGUUUAAUUCGACGCAACGCGCAGAACCUUACCAGGGUUUGACAUCCUGCGACCGCCUCUUAAUAGGGGUUUUCCCGCAAGGGACGCAGAGACAGGUGCUGCAUGGCUGUCGU
rnacentral:rRNA from 1 species